UACAGAGGGGGCAAGCGUUGUUCGGAAUUACUGGGCGUAAAGGGCGCGUAGGCGGCCUGUUAAGUCGAACGUGAAAUCCCCGGGCUCAACCCGGGAACUGCGUCCGAUACUGGCAGGCUUGAAUUCGGGAGAGGGAUGUGGAAUUCCAGGUGUAGCGGUGAAAUGCGUAGAUAUCUGGAGGAACACCGGUGGCGAAGGCGGCGA
rnacentral:rRNA from 1 species